rnacentral:rRNA from 1 species
GAUGAACGCUAGCGGCAGGCUUAAUACAUGCAAGUUGAGGGGCAGCAUGAUAUACGCGAGUAUAUUGAUGGCGACCGGCGGACGGGUGAGUAAUAGGUAGGAGACCUACCUCAUACAGGGGGAUAGCAUAGAGAAAUCUGUGGUAAUACCCCAUGAGGUUAUAUGAAUAGAGGCAUAUAAUCAAAGCAUAAGCGAUUAUGCGGUAUGAGAGGGGCCUACUGACCAUUAGCUAGUUGGUGAGGUAAGGGCUCACCAAGGCGAAGAUGGUUAGGGGUUUUGAGAGAGAGACCCCCCACAUUGGAACUGAGAGACGGUCCAGACUCCUACGGGAGGCAGCAGUAGGGAAUAUUGGGCAAUGGGCGAAAGCCUGACCCAGCCAUGCCGCGUGAAGGAAGACGGCCUUAUGGGUUGUAAACUUCUUUACUACGCGAAUAGAGGUUAGUACGAGAUACUAAUAGGAAGGUAGUGUAGUAAAAAGCACCGGCUAAACUCCGUG